CUGCACCUCCGGCCGCGCCAGCAGCGUCUCUGUGGUACAGGACGGGGGACGCGGGUGAAGAGGGCGGAGAAGGCGGGGAAAGAGAGAGAGCCACUGAGGCCACCACUAGGCGGCCACCGGCGCCUCCCCUCCCUAGCUCGUAUCCGCCUAGCAACUAGAGAGUAGCCAUUUGAGCACUUUCUUUGAGAGCUCCCGCGAGUCCUCGAGGGCUUUGCCUCCCCAACACUCACGCUCCCCACUUCUCUCCCACCACGAAACGUGGAGAACAAGAGAUAAGGAUAUGCAUUUACACGUAUUAAACACCUAGACGUUGUGUGCAAGACAUUAUGCUCACUGUAGAUACUUCAGCUCAUUUUAUCCCUGUGAUAACGUUUUGAGAACCCAAUACUAUCACCCCAUUUUAUAAAUGGGGAAACUGAGGCACCAGAGGUUUUUUGCCUUGGCAAGACUACAUAUCAACCCCCUAGCUCUUAAUCACCACUGCACUUCAUCCUCCAGGUGUUCUAGAUGAUUCUAGGUCUCAUCCCAGUGUAUGGAUGUGUGGAGAGUUCUAGGCACUGAUUGGGGGGGGAAUUAUUCCGCAUCUGUUUUAUGUAGGGGCGGGUGGAGGACCGAGUUCAGGUGCUCACCUAUGUGCUGGAUGAUCCCGCUGACUGUGGGCUGAAAGAGCUCGUUCAUGGCUUCACAAGACAUUCGGAGCAUCCCCUGUGAGGACCACUUCACGAAGUUCACGCUGUUAGUGGUGAAAGGGGCACAGACCUAUCGGUCAGGGCCCAGCUGCUUGCCCCAGUUUGGGGUCCGUGGUUCUUAUUCUCUACCUCUGCCACCAGGCAGAAGUGCCUGGGCACCGACUGCACGUGGUGUCUGGAGGACUGGACCUGCUGGAUGUUAGCCCUCAUCCCCACCCUACUCAGUCAGGAUUUAGUUGCCAGCCUGCUCCAGGUUCCAGGCCCUGGGAACUCUUCAUACAAGCUUUCCAGAGGACUCCAGCUUUUGAGUCAUUGAGCGACUCCCGGGAUCACACAGCAGGCUGCUGUAUACUCAAGGAAAUGACAGGAAGCAAUGCUCCCUGACUAAUCAAGGUAGAUAGGUCUUUGUUCUCCUCACCCUAAGGAAAGGUAAGCACGUUCUGGGUGUGUUGUUCUGGGACUUAGGCCUUGUAUCAUUUUGCUAAUGUAGCCACAGAAUUCUCAGCAGCAUCCAGCAAUAAACUGAUGCAUCCACAGGUUGGCUGGGGUCUGGGGGACGUAGGCUGGGCUCAGCUGAGUUUUGUUUCAAACCAUGGGUCUGAUUCAGGUCAUCUGCAUGUGUUCAUCAUCCUCUUUGGACCGGCAGGUCAGUUGGAGCCUGCCUCUUGCCUGGCAAUGACAGAAAUUCAGGGGAGGCCAACCGCUUAAGUAUGUUUCAAGACUUAGCUUGAGUCAUGUCCAUGCACAUCCAUUGGCCAGAGCAAGUCAUAUGGCUAAAGUCAAAGUAAAGGGAUGCUUUCCCACCAUGCAGCCAAGCCAUGUAUACAGUCCCAGUGGACUGAAGGAUCAGUACACAUGUGUCACAACCCCACAGGCCUAGAGCUAGGGGUCUCUGUACCAGCUGUUGAAGGAGGAAGUAAUGGGAUGAAUCCUUUGUGUUUUGGUCAAAAGAGGAAAUGGCCCAAGCAUGGCAGUGGACACAGGGGCUAUAAAGAGGAACAGAGUGAAAGAGACCUAAUAUCUCUGGAGCCUGAGCAUUUCAGGGUAGAAUGUCACCAGACAUCUGCUUGGGGCACCAUGGCCUGAGAUUCUGGAUCCACCCUAAUUCAGGGUUUCACAUCCUUUUAUACCCGCACAUUUGGCCUUGCCCUCAGGAUACGGGGCCUAAUUUGCUGUGGCCAGCUCCUCGCCAGUACAGGUAGGCAGGGACUGAGUUGAAUUAAGUUUGAGUUGUGAAAUCUUUUUAAAAAAUGGCCAGGAGUGGUGGUUUACGCCUGUAGUUCCAGCACUUUGGGAGGUCGAGGU